rnacentral:rRNA from 3 species
UACGUAGGGUGCGAGCGUUGUCCGGAAUUACUGGGCGUAAAGAGCUCGUAGGUGGUUUGUCGCGUUGUUCGUGAAAACCGGGGGCUUAACCCUCGGCGUGCGGGCGAUACGGGCAGACUGGAGUACUGCAGGGGAGACUGGAAUUCCUGGUGUAGCGGUGGAAUGCGCAGAUAUCAGGAGGAACACCGGUGGCGAAGGCGGGUCUCUGGGCAGUAACUGACGCUGAGGAGCGAAAGCGUGGGGAGCGAACAGG